UACGUAGGGGGCAAGCGUUGUCCGGAAUCAUUGGGCGUAAAGCGCGUGUAGGCGGCCAGAAAAGUCCGCUGUGAAAACUCGAGGCUCAACUUCGAGCUGUCGGUGGAAACUUUCUGGCUAGAGUCCGGAAGAGGUGAGUGGAAUUCCGAGUGUAGAGGUGAAAUUCGUAGAUAUUCGGAGGAACACCAGUGGCGAAGGCGGCUCACUGGUCCGGUACUGACGCUGAGGUGCGAAAGCGUGGGGGAGCAAACAGG
rnacentral:rRNA from 1 species